rnacentral:rRNA from 1 species
GACGUAGGGCGCGAGCGUUGUCCGGAUUUAUUGGGCGUAAAGAGCUCGUAGGCGGCUUGUUGCGUCGACCGUGAAAACCCGCGGCUUAACUGCGGGCUUGCGGUUGAUACGGGCGGGCUGGAGUUCGGUAGGGGAGACUGGAAUUCCUGGUGUAGCGGUGAAAUGCGUAGAGAUCGGGAGGAACACCUGUGGCGAAGGCGGCCCCCUGGGCCGGCCCUGACACUGAGACGCGAAGGCGUGGGGAGCGAACGGG